UACAGAGGUCUCAAGCGUUGUUCGGAUUCACUGGGCGUAAAGGGUGCGUAGGCGGUCGGGUAAGUCUGAUGUGAAAUCUCACAGCUUAACUGUGAAACUGCAUUGGAUACUAUUCGGCUUGAGGUUUGGAGGGGGGACUGGAAUUCUCGGUGUAGCAGUGAAAUGCGUAGAUAUAGGAAGGAACACCAGUGGCGAAGGCGACCACCUGGACUGAUACUGACACUGAGGUGCGAAAGCGUGGGGAGCAAACAGG
rnacentral:rRNA from 1 species